UACGAAGGGGGCUAGCGUUGCUCGGAAUCACUGGGCGUAAAGCGCACGUAGGCGGAUUGUUAAGUCAGGGGUGAAAUCCUGGAGCUCAACUCCAGAACUGCCUUUGAUACUGGCGAUCUUGAGUCCGGGAGAGGUGAGUGGAACUGCGAGUGUAGAGGUGAAAUUCGUAGAUAUCAGGAGGAACACCGGUGGCGAAGGCGGCUUUCUGGACAGUAACUGACGCUGAGGCGCGAAAGCUAGGGGAGCAAACAGG
rnacentral:rRNA from 1 species